rnacentral:hammerhead_ribozyme from 9 species
CACUAGUUGAGAACUGGAGCCGUUCUCCUGAUGAGCCUAAGGCAGGGCGAAACCAGUU